AAGCAUGCGGACGUACGCCGACGACACGGCAGAAGAUUCGCCAGAGACGUGACUAUAAAUAUUGGGAAAUCACCCUGUCUCUCGCUCCAUCUACCGCAGCCAACCCAGUUCACUUCCCCUCAACAUGGCGUCCAGAACCAUGUUGGUCGUGUGUGUUAUCACGGCCAUGCUUCUCCUCUCCUCACGUGAUGUUGCAGCUGCCAGACAACUGCAUGCUCAAAACGAAGAUGGCGAUGCAAGCAAGGCGGUGAAGAAGGCCAAUCACGAGAAAACGAUCGGUGACUAUGCGACUGUCAAAGAAGAAUCACUAUAUACCGUGGAACCUCACCCUAAGCCGCCAAGUUACCCUCCUUAUAAAAACUAGUUGUGCAUUUGACACCAUUGUGAAAUGGUUAUGUUGCUUCUAUCUACCACUAGUAAUUAUGUGCAUCCUACGCACCAAACCUAUCAUCCAUUAUAUAUGAUGGAAACCACAACAAAUCAAUAUGUUACCUCUCUGGUAUUAUUUGUAUGUAAGAUCGUUGUAUACAUACCGCACUAGCUGAAGGUUAUUAUACAACCUUUGCUAUCAGUACAACAGUGCUCUUGGAGUACGAGUUUGUCCGAAUUUGGGACACAUAUAUAACUUAUCAAUAAAGAGAGUUAUGGAUGGUGUAUUUCAG
rnacentral:rRNA from 1 species